UCAGCCGCAGCCACAGCCUGCUCCCUCCCUGGGUGGAUUUGAAGGAGCCUCCCCCACCCUCCGCCCCUAGCUUGCUCCUUGAGGACCCUGGGCAGGGUGGCUGCCAUGGGGCCCAAUCGUGCGUGGGAACCUGCGAGCUGGCAAACGGGGCUCGGGGGUUUUGCCCAGAAAUGGGUCAGAACGAAAGCCUCUCAGAGGAAAGAAAAGGGCAUGAGUCAAAGAGAAAGUCGGGGGGCAGGGGCUCCCCCUCAUCUCACCCCACCCAGGCCUCCUGACUCCCUGGGUUUGUGCGGACCCAGGCAGGCAGCCAACCCCAGCUCCGUGGUGUGUGAGCAUCGUGAUGAUCAGGACACAAGCUCUUCCCCGCUGAGCCUUCACUGUGGGCCAGCUUCCCGGUGGAUGCCCACUGAAGAGGCCUCAACCCAGUGGGCCCCACUCCAGACCAAGAGCAGACCAUUGGCCAGCUGCCCCCUGCAGACAGCGGCACCCGGGGCAGCAGCAAGCUGCCAGCGAAUGUCAACCAGAAAAACGUGAAAAGGAGACGACAGGCCUCGCCUCCCAGCCUACAUCUUUCUCCUGUGCUGGACGCUUCCUGCCCUCGAACAUCGGACUCCAAGUUCAGCU
ensembl:lncRNA LINC02908 long intergenic non-protein coding RNA 2908